rnacentral:rRNA from 1 species
AACGAACGCUGGCGGCAGGCUUAACACAUGCAAGUCGAACGAUGUAGCAAUACAUAGUGGCGCACGGGUGAGUAACGCGUGGGAAUAUACCGAGUAGUGGGGAAUAACUUUGGGAAACUAAAGCUAAUACCGCAUACGCCCGAGAGGGGAAAGAUUUAUCGCUAUUCGAUUAGCCCGCGUGAGAUUAGGUAGUUGGUGGGGUAAUGGCCUACCGAGCCGACGAUCUCUAGCUGGUCUGAGAGGAUGAUCAGCCACACUGGAACUGAGACACGGUCCAGACUCCUACGGGAGGCAGCAGUGGGGAAUAUUGGGCAAUGGAGGAAACUCUGACCCAGCCAUGCCGCGCGAAUGAUGAAGGCCUUAGGGUUGUAAAGUUCUUUCACCGAUGAAGAUAAUGACGGUAGUCGGAGAAGAAGCCCCGGCUAACUUCGUGCCAGCCGCCGCGGUAA